CAGCCGCCGCGGUAAUACGUAGGGCGCAAGCGUUGUCCGGAAUUAUUGGGCGUAAAGAGCUCGUAGGCGGUUUGUCGCGUCUGCUGUGAAAACGCGAGGCUCAACCUCGCGUCUGCAGUGGGUACGGGCAGACUAGAGUGUGGUAGGGGAGAUUGGAAUUCCUGGUGUAGCGGUGGAAUGCGCAGAUAUCAGGAGGAACACCGAUGGCGAAGGCAGAUCUCUGGGCCAUUACUGACGCUGAGGAGCGAAAGCGUGGGGAGCGAACAGGAUUAGAUACCCCAGUAGUCCCUGUCUCUUAUAC
rnacentral:rRNA from 1 species